rnacentral:rRNA from 1 species
UACGGGGGGAGCAAGCGUUGUUCGGAUUUACUGGGCGUAAAGGGCGCGUAGGCGGCGUGACAAGUCACUUGUGAAAUCUCCGGGCUUAACUCGGAGCGGCCAAGUGAUACUGUCGUGCUAGAGUGCGGAAGGGGCUACUGGAAUUCUCGGUGUAGCGGUGAAAUGCGUAGAUAUCGAGAGGAACACCUGCGGCGAAGGCGGGUAGCUGGGCCGACACUGACGCUGAGGUGCGAAAGCGUGGGGAGCAAACAGG